rnacentral:misc_RNA from 1 species
GUAUUUUGGAUUAUUUUAUUCAUAAUGUUUUUCAGACAAAGAGUUAAAGAAUAAGUUGAUGUUUGGUCGUUCCCAUAGAAGAGAACGACUGACAUUGCACACAAGGUGGAUAUGGAUUUAAAAAGUGCCAUAAAACACUUAUUAUGAAUGAUCCUUCCGCAGGUUCACCUACGGAAA